AGAGAUGUGUGAUGACGCAUAUCAAUAAGCGGAGGAAAAGAAACUAACAAGGAUUCCCUUAGUAACGGCGAGUGAAGCGGGGGAAGAGCUCAAAUUUGAAAUCUUCAAGGUUCUACCUUGACGAAUUGUAGUUUAUAGAAGUGUUUUCUGUUAGUAGAGUGGCAAAAGUUCUUUGGAAUAGGACAUCAUAGAGGGUGAGAAUCCCGUAUUUGACCGUUACUUUCCAGCUGUGUGAUACACUUUCAAAGAGUCGGAUUGUUUGGGAAUGCAGUCCAAAAUGGGUGGUAAAUUUCAUCUAAAGCUAAAUAUUGGCGAGAGACCGAUAGCGAACAAGUACCGUGAGGGAAAGAUGAAAAGAACUUUGAAAAGAGAGUUAAACAGUACGUGAAAUUGUCAAAAGGGAAGCGUUUGACACCAGUGUUGUUUUUUCCGAAAAUCAAUUACGAAUGUUUUGUUUUUAAGGAGUUAUGACUUCAUCGGCUUGCUUCUUUCUUUACGAAACUUUCUUAAUGCACUUUUCGGUUAACAAGUCAACAUCAAUUUCUUUUGUUGUAAAAGGGUAUGAGGAAGGUGGCUUUCUUUUCGGAGAAAGUGUUUAUAGCCUUGUACCUCUGCAAUCGGAGAGAUUGAGGUCUGCAGCGUAGAUCCUUCGGGGUUAGAUACAUUUGUGCUAAGUUAUAGCUUUUCAUAGACAACUUGUUGACUAUGUUUAGUCUUGUAGCUUACUCGCUUAUGCUAUUUUACCUACGCUUAGGAUGUUGACAGCAGUAUAGACUGU
rnacentral:rRNA from 1 species